UACAGAGGUCUCAAGCGUUGUUCGGAUUCAUUGGGCGUAAAGCGCGUGUAGGCGGCUUGGCAAGUCGGGUGUGAAAGCCCUCAGCUCAACUGAGGAAGUGCGCCCGAAACUGCUGUGCUUGAGUGUCGGAGAGGGUGGCGGAAUUCCCCAAGUAGAGGUGAAAUUCGUAGAUAUGGGGAGGAACACCGGUGGCGAAGGCGGCCACCUGGACGACCACUGACGCUGAGACGCGAAAGCGUGGGGAGCAAACAGG
rnacentral:rRNA from 1 species